GGGGAUAUUGCUCAGUUGGUAGAGUGCUUGCUUUGCAUGCACAAAAACUUGGGUUCAAUCCCCAGUCUCUCUC
rnacentral:tRNA from 1 species